GCAACGUAUGCAAGUCGAGCGGACAGAUGGGAGCUUGCUCCCUGAUGUUAGCGGCGGACGGGUGAGUUACACGUGGGUAACCUGCCUGUAAGACUGGGAUAACUCCGGGAAACCGGGGCUAAUACCGGAUGCUUGUUUGAACCGCAUGGUUCAAACAUAAAAGGUGGCUUCGGCUACCACUUACAGAUGGACCCGCGGCGCAUUAGCUAGUUGGUGAGGUAAUGGCUCACCAAGGCUACGAUGCGUAGCCGACCUGAGAGGGUGAUCGGCCACACUGGGACUGAGACACGGCCCAGACUCCUACGGGAGGCAGCAGUAGGGAAUCUUCCGCAAUGGACGAAAGUCUGACGGAGCAACGCCGUGUGAGUGAUGAAGGUUUUCGGAUCGUAAAGCUCUGUUGUUAGGGAAGAACAAGUACCGUUCGAAUAGGGCGGUACCUUGACGGUACCUAACCAGAAAGCCACGGCUAACUACUUGCCAGCAGCCGCGGUAAUACGUAUGUGGCAAGCGUUGUCCGGAAUUAUUGGGCGUAAAGGGCUCGCAGGCGGUUUCUUAAUUCUGAUGUGAAAGCCCCCGGCUCAACCGGGGAGGGUCAUUGGAAACUGGGGAACUUGAGUGCAGAAGAGGAGAGUGGAAUUCCACGUGUAGCGGUGAAAUGCGUAGAGAUGUGGAGGAACACCAGUGGCGAAUGCGACUCUCUGGUCUGUAACUGACGCUGAGGAGCGAAAGCGUGGGGAGCGAACAGGAUUAUAUACUCUGGUAGUCCACGCCGUAAACGAUGAGUGCUAAGUGUUAGGGGGUUUCCGCCCCUUAGUGCUGCAGCUAACGCAUUAAUCACUCCGCCUGGUGAGUACGGUCGCUAGAUUGAUACUCAAGGAAUUGAUGGGGCCCGCACAAGCUGUGGAGCAUGUGGUUUAAUUCGAAGCUAUGCGAUAACCUUACCAGGUCUU
rnacentral:rRNA from 1 species